rnacentral:rRNA from 1 species
UGAGGAAUAUUGGUCAAUGGGGGCAACCCUGAACCAGCCAAGUCGCGUGAAGGAUGAAGGUCUUAUGGAUUGUAAACUUCUUUUACACGGGAAUAAAGCGGGGGACGUGUCCCUCUUUGCAUGUACCGUGUGAAUAAGGAUCGGCUAACUCCGUGCCAGCAGCCGCGGUAAUACGGAGGAUCCGAGCGUUAUCCGGAUUUAUUGGGUUUAAAGGGUGCGCAGGCGGGAUGUUAAGUCGGCGGUGAAAUUUUGCAGCUCAACUGUAAAAGUGCCUUCGAUACUGGCCUCCUUGAGUGUGGAUGAAGUAGGCGGAAUUUGUGGUGUAGCGGUGAAAUGCUUAGAUAUCACGAGGAACUCCGAUUGCGCAGGCAGCUUACUAAGCCACAACUGACGCUCAUGCACAAAGGCGUGGGGAUCAAACA